rnacentral:rRNA from 1 species
AUCCCUUGACAUCUGGAUCGCGGGCUCAGAGAUGAGUCUUUCAGUUCGGCUGGAUCCAAGAC